rnacentral:rRNA from 1 species
UUAAGCGACUAAGCGUACACGGUGGAUGCCCUGGCAGUCAGAGGCGAUGAAGGACGUGCUAAUCUGCGAAAAGCGUCGGUAAGGUGAUAUGAACCGUUAUAACCGGCGAUGUCCGAAUGGGGAAACCCAGUGUGAUUCGUCACACUAUCGUUAACUGAAUACAUAGGUUAACGAGGCGAACCGGGGGAACUGAAACAUCUAAGUACCCCGAGGAAAAGAAAUCAACCGAGAUUCCCCCAGUAGCGGCGAGCGAACGGGGAGCAGCCCAGAGUCUGAAUCAGCUUGUGUGUUAGUGGAACGGUCUGGAAAGUCCGACGGUACAGGGUGAUAGUCCCGUACACCAAAAUGCACAGGUUGUGAACUCGAAGAGUAGGGCGGGACACGUGGUAUCCUGUCUGAAUAUGGGGGGACCAUCCUCCAAGGCUAAAUACUCCUGACUGACCGAUAGUGAACCAGUACCGUGAGGGAAAGGCGAAAAGAACCCCGGCGAGGGGAGUGAAAAAGAACCUGAAACCGUGUACGUACAAGCAGUGGGAGCACCUUCGGGUGUGACUGAGUACCUUUUGUAUAAUGGGUCAGCGACUUAUAUUCUGUAGCAAGGUUAACCGUAUAGGGGAGCCGCAGGGAAACCGAGUCUUAACUGGGCGUUAAGUUGCAGGGUAUAGACCCGAAACCCGGUGAUCUAGCCAUGGGCAGGUUGAAGGUUGGGUAACACUAACUGGAGGACCGAACCGACUAAUGUUGAAAAAUUAGCGGAUGACUUGUGGCUGGGGGUGAAAGGCCAAUCAAACCGGGAGAUAGCUGGUUCUCCCCGAAAGCUAUUUAGUUAGCGCCUCGUGAACUCAUCUUCGGGGGUAGAGCACUGUUUCGGCUAGGGGGUCAUCCCGACUUACCAACCCGAUGCAAACUACGAAUACCGAAGAAUGUUAUCACGGGAGACACACGGCGGGUGCUAACGUCCGUCGUGAAGAGGGAAACAACCCAGACCGCCAGCUAAGGUCCCAAAGUCAUGGUUAAGUGGGAAACGAUGUGGGAAGGCACAGACAGCCAGGAUGUUGGCUUAGAAGCAGCCAUCAUUUAAAGAAAGCGUAAUAGCUCACUGGUCGAGUCGGCCUGCGCGGAAGAUGUAACGGGGCUAAACCAUGCACCGAAGCUGCGGCAGCGACACUAUGUGUUGUUGGGUAGGGGAGCGUUCUGUAAGCCUGCGAAGGUGUGCUGUGAGGCAUGCUGGAGGUAUCAGAAGUGCGAAUGCUGACAUAAGUAACGAUAAAGCGGGUGAAAAGCCCGCUCGCCGGAAGACCAAGGGUUCCUGUCCAACGUUAAUCGGGGCAGGGUGAGUCGACCCCUAAGGCGAGGCCGAAAGGCGUAGUCGAUGGGAAACAGGUUAAUAUUCCUGUACUUGGUGUUACUGCGAAGGGGGGACGGAGAAGGCUAUGUUAGCCGGGCGACGGUUGUCCCGGUUUAAGCAUGUAGGCUGGUUAUCCAGGCAAAUCCGGAUAAUCAAGGCUGAGGUGUGAUGACGAGGCACUACGGUGCUGAAGUAACAAAUGCCCUGCUUCCAGGAAAAGCCUCUAAGCAUCAGGUAACAUCAAAUCGUACCCCAAACCGACACAGGUGGUCAGGUAGAGAAUACCAAGGCGCUUGAGAGAACUCGGGUGAAGGAACUAGGCAAAAUGGUGCCGUAACUUCGGGAGAAGGCACGCUGGUGUGUAGGUGAAGUCCCUGCGGAUGGAGCUGAGACCAGUCGAAGAUACCAGCUGGCUGCAACUGUUUAUUAAAAACACAGCACUGUGCAAACACGAAAGUGGACGUAUACGGUGUGACGCCUGCCCGGUGCCGGAAGGUUAAUUGAUGGGGUUAUCCGUAAGGAGAAGCUCUUGAUCGAAGCCCCGGUAAACGGCGGCCGUAACUAUAACGGUCCUAAGGUAGCGAAAUUCCUUGUCGGGUAAGUUCCGACCUGCACGAAUGGCGUAAUGAUGGCCAGGCUGUCUCCACCCGAGACUCAGUGAAAUUGAACUCGCUGUGAAGAUGCAGUGUACCCGCGGCAAGACGGAAAGACCCCGUGAACCUUUACUAUAGCUUGACACUGAACAUUGAGCCUUGAUGUGUAGGAUAGGUGGGAGGCUUUGAAGCGUGGACGCCAGUCUGCGUGGAGCCAACCUUGAAAUACCACCCUUUAAUGUUUGAUGUUCUAACGUUGGCCCCUGACCGGGGUUGCGGACAGUGUCUGGUGGGUAGUUUGACUGGGGCGGUCUCCUCCCAAAGCGUAACGGAGGAGCACGAAGGUUAGCUAAUCCUGGUCGGACAUCAGGAGGUUAGUGCAAUGGCAUAAGCUAGCUUGACUGCGAGCGUGACGGCGCGAGCAGGUGCGAAAGCAGGUCAUAGUGAUCCGGUGGUUCUGAAUGGAAGGGCCAUCGCUCAACGGAUAAAAGGUACUCCGGGGAUAACAGGCUGAUACCGCCCAAGAGUUCAUAUCGACGGCGGUGUUUGGCACCUCGAUGUCGGCUCAUCACAUCCUGGGGCUGAAGUAGGUCCCAAGGGUAUGGCUGUUCGCCAUUUAAAGUGGUACGCGAGCUGGGUUUAGAACGUCGUGAGACAGUUCGGUCCCUAUCUGCCGUGGGCGCUGGAGAAUUGAGGGGGGCUGCUCCUAGUACGAGAGGACCGGAGUGGACGCAUCACUGGUGUUCGGGUUGUCAUGCCAAUGGCACUGCCCGGUAGCUAAAUGCGGAAGAGAUAAGUGCUGAAAGCAUCUAAGCACGAAACUUGCCCCGAGAUGAGUUCUCCCUGAGACUAUAAGUCUCCUGAAGGAACGUUAAAGACGAUGACGUUGAUAGGCCGGGUGUGUAAGCGCAGCGAUGCGUUGAGCUAACCGGUACUAAUGAACCGUGAGGCUUAACCUU